AUGGACCCUGGUGUGCUCAUAUUCUUACUUUACGUCAUGAUAGCUCACGAGCUUGUGUGUGGAUUGAUGCAGUACAGGAGACAAGCAGCCAAACCUAACAAACGCCUGAUGUGGUGCUCCAGUUCCCGUGUCUGUCAUGGAACAUGGAGAGUCAGUAGCCAGCCGGUGCGGACAGGGAGACGAGACUUGAAGAAAACUGGACGUAUUGUCAGGAAAGCGUGACACGAGGGCAGCUGUUGACUUACGAUCCAUAAAUGUGGUUCUUAAUCAUCCUUCCUGCACUGUGAUCAAUCACUGAAGCUAUGCUGACCGCUCACUGCCAGUUCAUGAUUAUAUCAUUUCAACUUUGAUGCUCAAAGUUUACAGUUUUCCUAUUCACUGUAAUUGUGGACAUCUUUAGAGGUUCAUUUUUAGCUAUAGUUCACCUAGAAAUUGAAAUUCUGCCAUUAUUUACUCACCCUCAUCGUCGUUGCAAAUGUAUGAAAACUUUUAAAAACUAUACUUCCUGUGAUUUUUUUUUCGCUGCAGUUACAAUGCUUCAGAAUGGACACAAACAGCACCAUAAAAGUGAUCCAAGUCUUCUGAAGUCAUGUGAUAGCUUUGAGAAAAAAGUCACAGGUUUGGAAUGGCAGAAAAUAAUGGCAGAAUUUUAAUUCAUGAGUGAUCUAAUUCUUGAAGUAUGUUUGUAGAACUACGUUUUUUCUUAGUGAUUUGAAAGCUGCUGUUUUUACCUAAACUGAAUAUAUUGUGUGUGGUUAAUAUGAGUUGUUUUUGCCAAACGUAUAGUUCAGUCCCAUGGAAGCAGAGGUGAUUUGAGAUCUCUGAUCACUUUACAAUGUAAUGACACUGUGCACUUGAGUAUGGAAAUUAAUCUCAGAUUGCAGCAAUUAAUCUACAUUAUAUCACUUUUGAUAAAAAUCAUCUGCUAAAUGGGUUUCCGAAACACAAUUUGUAUAUUUCUUGUUCAGUUUGCUGUUUCUGCCCUUAUUACAUUUUGUAAAUGAAUUGCAAAUUCUUGUUUUGGAUGUGAUAAGUCUAGUGUACAUGGAAGUUCACGCUAAACCUUUGUAUCCGACUGUGUAUUGAGAUUCAUUAAAUAUGCAUUUCAGCAUCAACUAUAAUGUAGUGAUAUUUUUUUCGAGUUGAGGUGUCAGUAUCAGCAGGUUUGGGAAUUAUAAUGUUUAGCAAGCACUUUCAUGUUUCAAUGUCGAACCACUUAACAUUUUCAAAUAUUGAUUUUUGAUCUGUCUCAUCAAUGAGGUUUGAGGAAUACUUCAUGCAAAAAGGAAAAUUUACAAAUUAAGUUUGUUACUUCAUCGGACAGAUUUGGAUAUAUUUAGCAUAACAUCACUUGCUCACCGAUGGAUCCUCUGCAGUGAAUGGGUGCCGUCAGAGUUCAAACAGCUGAAACAUCACAAUAAUCCACAUGACUCCAUCAAUUAACGUUUUUUUUUUUUUUUUUUUUUUUAGUGAAAAGCUGCAUAUUUGUAAAAAAUAAAUCCUCCAUUAAGACCUUUUUAACUUAAAAC
ensembl:lncRNA